GAUGAACGCUGGCGGCGUGCCUAAUACAUGCAAGUCGAGCGAACAGAUGAGGAGCUUGCUCCUCUGACGUUAGCGGCGGACGGGUGAGUAACACGUGGAUAACCUACCUAUAAGACUGGGAUAACUUCGGGAAACCGGAGCUAAUACCGGAUAAUAUAUUGAACCGCAUGGUUCAAUAGUGAAAGACGGUUUUGCUGUCACUUAUAGAUGGAUCCGCGCCGCAUUAGCUAGUUGGUAAGGUAACGGCUUACCAAGGCAACGAUGCGUAGCCGACCUGAGAGGGUGAUCGGCCACACUGGAACUGAGACACGGUCCAGACUCCUACGGGAGGCAGCAGUAGGGAAUCUUCCGCAGUGGGCGAAAGCCUGACGGAGCAACGCCGCGUGAGUGAUGAAGGUCUUCGGAUCGUAAAACUCUGUUAUUAGGGAAGAACAAAUGUGUAAGUAACUAUGCACGUCUUGACGGUACCUAUCAGAAAGCCACGGCUAACUACGUG
rnacentral:rRNA from 1 species